rnacentral:rRNA from 1 species
AUUGAACGCUGGCGGCAGGCCUAACACAUGCAAGUCGAAUGGUAACAGGAAACAGCUUGCUGUUUCGCUGACGAGUGGCGGACGGGUGAGUAAUGUCUGGGAAACUGCCUGAUGGAGGGGGAUAACUACUGGAAACGGUAGCUAAUACCGCAUAACGUCGCAAGACCAAAGAGGGGGACCUUCGGGCCUCUUGCCAUCAGAUGUGCCCAGAUGGGAUUAGCUAGUAGGUGGGGUAACGGCUCACCUAGGCGACGAUCCCUAGCUGGUCUGAGAGGAUGACCAGCCACACUGGAACUGAGACACGGUCCAGACUCCUACGGGAGGCAGCAGUGGGGAAUAUUGCACAAAGGGCGCAAGCCUGAUGCAGCCAUGCCGCGUGUAUGAAGAAGGCCUUCGGGUUGUAAAGUACUUUCAGCGGGGAGGAAGGGAGUAAAGUUAAUACCUUUGCUAAUUGACGUUACCCGCAGAAGAAGCACCGGCUAACUCCGUG